GAUGAACGCUGGCGGCGUGCUUAACACAUGCAAGUCGAGCGAGAAGUUUUGAAAAGAUUCUUCGGAUGAAAUUUAAAAUGGAAAGCGGCGGACGGGUGAGUAACGCGUAGGCAACCUGCCCCAUACAAAGGGAUAGCAUUUGGAAACGAAUAUUAAUACCUUAUGAAACUUAACUAGUGCAUGCUAGGUAGGUCAAAGAUUUAUCGGUAUGGGAUGGGCCUGCGUCUGAUUAGCUAGUUGGUGAGGUAACGGCUCACCAAGGCGACGAUCAGUAGCCGACCUGAGAGGGUGAACGGCCACAUUGGAACUGAGACACGGUCCAAACUCCUACGGGAGGCAGCAGUGGGGAAUAUUGCACAAUGGGGGAAACCCUGAUGCAGCAACGCCGCGUGAACGAUGAAGGCCUUUGGGUCGUAAAGUUCUGUUCUAGGUGAUGAAAACUGACAGUAACCUAGGAGAAAGCCCCGGCUAACUCCGUGCCAGCAGCCGCGGUAAUACGGAGGGGGCAAGCGUUAUCCGGAAUUAUUGGGCGUAAAGGGUACGUAGGUGGCCUUUUAAGCGUAGGGUAUAAGGCAAUGGCUCAACCAUUGUUCGCCCUAUGAACUGNAAGGCUUGAGUGCAGGAGAGGAAAGCGGAAUUCCUAGUGUAGCGGUGGAAUGCAUAGAUAUUANGAGGAACAUCAGCGGNGAANNGCGGCUUUCUGGACUGCAACUGACACUGAGUACGAAAGCGNGGGGAGCAAACNG
rnacentral:rRNA from 1 species